CGGGCCAGACGGUCGCGCGCGGGGCCUUCGGGCUUUGCCCGAUGCGUCCGCGUGAGGAAAGUCCGGGCUCCACAGGGCAGGAUGCUGGCUAACGGCCAGGCGGGGCGACCCGACGGAAAGUGCCGCAGAAAAGAAGACUCCCACCUGCAUGCUGACUCGGCGUGUAAAGGGAAAAGCUGAAACGGUGGUGUAAGAGACCACCAGCGUCGCGGCGACGCGGCGGCUUGGUAAACCCCAUCCGGAGCAAGCGCAAAUAGGGGCGUGAUGGGCCUGCCCGGUCCGCGCCCGGGUAGCGUGCGUAGAGCGGCGCGGCAACGCGUCCGCCAAGAUAAAUGAUCGUCCUCGACAGAACCCGGCUUAUAGGCCCGCUUC
rnacentral:RNase_P_RNA from 1 species